UAACAUAUAUGUGGCAUAUCCUCAUAUAGUUGUGUCAGACUCAUAUCUAGUUGCUCAGAAUCAUCCGUUGUCGCAAGCUCAAUUACAUCAUUAACACUUAUAAGACAUAUUUGGAAAAUAAUUUCACAAAAUCAUAGUUUUUGUA
rfam:Populus trichocarpa scaffold_176_contig_1, whole genome shotgun sequence.